rnacentral:rRNA from 1 species
UACGGAGGGUGCAAGCGUUAUCCGGAUUCACUGGGUUUAAAGGGUGCGUAGGUGGGUUGGUAAGUCAGUGGUGAAAUCCCCGAGCUUAACUUGGGAACUGCCAUUGAUACUAUCAGUCUUGAAUACCGUGGAGGUCGACGGAAUAUGUCAUGUAGCGGUGAAAUGCUUAGAUAUGACAUAGAACACCAAUUGCGAGGGCAGCUGACUACGCGAGUAUUGACACUGAGGCACGAAAGCGUGGGGAUCAAACAGG